rnacentral:rRNA from 1 species
AGUUUGAUCCUGGCUCAGGAUAAACGCUGGCGGCGCACAUAAGACAUGCAAGUCGAACGGAAGUCGUUACGAAAUGGAAUGAAGAUUUAUCUGAUUGAAGUUUUGUAACAAUGGCUUUAGUGGCGGACUGGUGAGUAACACGUAAGCAAUCUACCUAUUAGAGGGGAAUACCAAGAGAAAUCUUGUUUAACCCGCAUAAGCUUGUAUCCCCCCUUGUCCCACCAAAAAAGGCCAACCCCUUAAAAGAGAGCUUGGCGGUGUUAACUUGUUGUGUGUGUAACGGCAUACCAAGGCAAGGAUCAGUUCCCGGGGUGAAGGGUCUUUGGCCCACUUGGGAUUGAGAUACGGCCCAGAUUCCUACGGGAGGCAGCAGUCGGGAAUUUUGGCCAAUGGAGGAAAUUCUGACGCAGUGACGCCGCGUAUAGGAAGAAGGUUUUCGGAUUGUAAACUAUUUUAGUCAGGGAAGAAAAAUGACAGUACCUGAAGAAUAAGCUCCGGCUAACUACGUGCCAGCAGCCGCGGUAAUACGUAGGGAGCAAGCGUUAUCCGGAUUUAUUGGGUGUAAAGGGUGCGUAGACGGGAAGACAAGUUGGUUGUGAAAGCCCUCGGCUCAACUGAGGAACUGCAACCAAAACUAUCAUUCUUGAGUGCGGGAGAGGAAAGUGGAAUUCCUAGUGUAGCGGUGAAAUGCGUAGAUAUUAGGAGGAACACCAGUGGCGAAGGCGACUUUCUGGACCGUAACUGACGUUGAGGCACGAAAGUGUGGGGAGCAAACAGGAUUAGAUACCCUGGUAGUCCACGCCGUAAACGAUGGAUACUAGGUGUAGGGAACGAUAUGUUUUCUGUGCCGAAAGCAAACGCAAUAAGUAUCCCACCUGGGGAGUACGGCCGCAAGGUUGAAACUCAAAGGAAUUGACGGGGGCCCGCACAAGCAGUGGAGUAUGUGGUUUAAUUCGAAGCAACGCGAAGAACCUUACCAGGGCUUGACAUAUACAGGAAUACUUAAGAAAUUAGGUAGUCUUUCGAGACUUGUAUACAGGUGGUGCAUGGUUGUCGUCAGCUCGUGUCGUGAGAUGUUGGGUUAAGUCCCGCAACGAGCGCAACCCCUAUUUCUAGUUGCCAGCACGUAAAGGUGGGAACUCUAGAGAGACUGCCGAUGAUGAAUCGGAGGAAGGUGGGGACGACGUCAAAUCAUCAUGCCCUUUAUGUCCUGGGCUACACACGUACUACAAUGGCCGUAACAGAGAGAAACGAAACAGCGAUGUGGAGUAAAACUUAAAAAAGCGGUCUCAGUUCGGAUUGAAGGCUGAAAUUCGCCUACAUGAAGUUGGAAUUGCUAGUAAUGGCAGGUCAGCAUACUGCCGUGAAUACGUUCCCGGGCCUUGUACACACCGCCCGUC